rnacentral:rRNA from 1 species
GGACGCUUGCCACUUUGUGGUUCAUGACUGGGGUGAAGUCGUAACAAGGUAGCGCUAGGGGAACCUGGCGCUGGAUCACCUCCUUACACGA